AAAUUGAAGAGUUUGAUCAUGGCUCAGAUUGAACGCUGGCGGCAGGCCUAACACAUGCAAGUCGAACGGUAACAGGAAGAAGCUUGCUUCUUUGCUGACGAGUGGCGGACGGGUGAGUAAUGUCUGGGAAACUGCCUGAUGGAGGGGGAUAACUACUGGAAACGGUAGCUAAUACCGCAUAACGUCGCAAGACCAAAGAGGGGGACCUUCGGGCCUCUUGCCAUCGGAUGUGCCCAGAUGGGAUUAGCUUGUUGGUGGGGUAACGGCUCACCAAGGCGA
rnacentral:rRNA from 1 species